rnacentral:tRNA from 1 species
CAAAUUAGAGCUUGAUAUAAGUAUUUCAUUUACAUUGAAAUGAUAUUGAUAUAUUCAAUUAGUUUGA